UUCCUUGACAGCCUGCAGCAAUAAUAGAGCUCAUUUAUUUCAUGCAAUACUUAUUUAUUAUGCAAAUGAAAGAAGUUUUGUUUCGAUGAUUAUGGCAGUAUUAGAUUCUCUGUAAAGUGUAAACAUCAAAACAAAUCUUGAAGUAACAUAAUGAAUUGCAAAUCAGUAUAUUUAUGGCAGAAUUCUAAUUGGGAAGUAAAUCCUAAACAAAAACUUAAUAUCCUGUCUCAAAACGUUUUUUAAGAAUUCCCAUGUCUAUCUCAGGUUUAAUGAUAUUCUAGAGUUGUUAUUAAUCAAUCAUCAAUUAAACUUUAUAACAUUUCAAGUAAUAAUGAUAACAUCCCAUUUUCAAUGGCUAUAUCAUGUACUCAUAGUGCAAUGAAUAUCCAAUUAAAUAUUUUCAAGAGGUAAUGCAAUUCAUCAUAAGCAACUAUAAAUACAAUAAUCACACAAUGCACAUAAAGAAAGGACAAGAAAUUAAAGAUUAAAAUCAGUAACAGGGCUGUUAAGGUCAGUCCUAGAA
rnacentral:misc_RNA from 1 species